rnacentral:sRNA from 1 species
AUGAAGCGCUCGCACACUGCGGUUUCUCGGCGCUGUCCACACCCACCUGACGCCGGCUCGCUACGUCCUGUUGACU